rnacentral:rRNA from 1 species
UGAGGAAUAUUGGACAAUGGGGGAAACCCUGAUCCAGCCAUGCCGCGUGAGUGAUGAAGGCCUUCGGGUUGUAAAGCUCUUUAGUCCGGGACGAUGAUGACGGUACCGGAAGAAUAAGCCCCGGCUAACUUCGUGCCAGCAGCCGCGGUAAUACGAAGGGGGCAAGCGUUGUUCGGAAUCACUGGGCGUAAAGCGUGUGUAGGCGGUUUAAUAAGUCAGGCGUGAAAGCCCCGGGCUCAACCCGGGAACUGCGCUUGAAACUAUUUUACUUGAGACCGGGAGAGGUUGGCAGAAUUCCAAGUGUAGAGGUGAAAUUCGCAGAUAUUUGGAGGAAUACCAGUGGCGUAAGCGGCCAACUGGACCGGUACUGACGCUGAGACACGAAAGCGUGGGGAGCAAA